AUUGAACGCUAGCGGGAUGCUUUACACAUGCAAGUCGAACGGAGACGCGGACGGGUGAUAACUAUAUCGGCACGUGCCCAGGAGCGGGGGAUACCUACUCGAAAGAGUGGCCAAUAACGCAUAACAUUGGAGAUGCCGAUAUCGGAUUAGCUAGUGGGUGGGGUAAAGGCUCACCAAGGCCACGAUCCGUAGCUGGUUUGAGAGGACGACCAGCCACACUGGAACUGAGACACGGCCCAGACUCCGACGGGAGGCAGCAGUGGGGAAUUGUGGACAAUGGGGGAAACCCUGAUCCAGCCAUCCCGCGUGUAUGAUGAAGGCCUUCGGGUUGUAAAGUACUUUUGGCAGGGAAGCGGUAUCUGCAGAAUAAGCACCGGCUAACUACGUGCCAGCAGCCGCGGUAAUAC
rnacentral:rRNA from 1 species